GAUGAAGAACGUAGCGAAAUGCGAUACGUAGUGUGAAUUGCAGAAUUCAGUGAAUCAUCGAAUCUUUGAACGCACAUUGCACCUCUCGGUAUUCCGGGAGGUAUGCCUGUUCGAGCGUCAUUUGUACCCUCAAGCUCUGCUUGGUGUUGGGUGUUUGUUCCGCCUCUGUGUGUGAACUCGCCUCAAAACAAUUGGCAGCCGGCGUACUUGUUUCGGAGCGCAGCACAUUUUGCGAUCCAGAUCAACGUACAGCGGCAUCCAAGAAGCCUUAUUUAACGCUCUUGACCUCGGAUCAGGUAGGGAUACCCGCUGAACUUAAGCAUAUCAAGAAGCGGAGGA
rnacentral:misc_RNA from 1 species